CAGAGGCGACAUGUCACGGAUCAUGUGCCACCCCAGAUUUCUGCCAGGGAGAGCCACAGCUUUAGUUCUGCAGGGGGAAGCAACAGCAAACAGUUUCCCAAUGUGUAAAAUGGAGAUGACACUUAUCUCUAUUGUAAAGUGACUUCAGAGCUACUGAUCAAAGGCACAAUAGAAAAGAUUUGCCAGCAAGAGCAGAGUUUAGUGCCAAUGGAAAUUGUGGUCUCCGCCAUGCGGAAAUCUCAUCUAUGACUCCUGAUGUAAGACCACCAAGCUAACUGCACCAUACUCCAAGAGUAUCAUCUACUGGGAUGGAUUUUAACUCUAUGUGUUAAAGCUGCUGGAUCCCAUUACCAUUUAGUGGGACUGAAGAUCUGAAAUGGGUAAAAGAAAUCUACUCUGGAGAAACCAGGAUGUUUCUUUUGUU